AUGGACGCGCCGCCGCCGCGCCGGGCGUCGCGCCCUCCGCCCCCACGGGGUCAACGAGUCAUCGUACUCCGACGCUCCGCCGCCCCUCCCUGCGACGAGGCCCCCGGUGCCACCAGCAGCUUCGAGCUCUUCUACGAUGAUGGCGCCAGAUCCGGCCUCUGCCCGCUGCCCGAGACCAUGUUUGACUUCCUCAUGGGGUCCGGAUUCGAGUGGUUCCUCAAGCAGCUCGCCUGGAUCGAGGCCGGCGGCUUCGGCGCUGUCCGCCCAUGCGACAACCCAGCGGACUGCAAGGCCGCCGUCGAGCCCAUGCCCACUGUCGUCAUCGCCGCCUGCCCUGGCCACAUCGGCGCCGACUCCCACUGCGUCGUCUGCAAGGAGACCUUCGAGCAGGGCGACUAG
rnacentral:rRNA from 1 species